rnacentral:rRNA from 1 species
GACGAACGCUGGCGGCGUGCUUAACACAUGCAAGUCGAACGGAAAGGCCCUGAGUUCGUGGGGUGCUCGAGUGGCGAACGGGUGCGUAACACGAGAGUAACCUGACCCUGACUUUGGGAUAACUUCAGGAAACUGGGACUACUACCGGUUCGGAGCUCCUGCCGCAUGGUGGGGGUCGGAAGGUUUCGGCGGUGGGGGAUGGACUCGCGGCUUAUCAGCUUGUUGGUGGGGUAGUGGCUUACCUAGGUUUUGACGGGUAGCCGGCCUGAGAGGGUGACCGGCCACAUUGGGACUGAGAUACGGCCCAGACUCCUACGGGAGGCAGCAGUGGGGAAUAUUGCACAAUGGGCGGAAGCCUGAUGCAGCAACGCCGCGUGCGGGAUGACGGCCUUCGGGUUGUAAACCGCUUUCGCCUGUGACGAAGCGUGAGUGACGGUAAUGGGUAAAGAAGCACCGGCUAACUACGUG